rnacentral:rRNA from 1 species
GACGAACGCUGGCGGCGUGCUUAACACAUGCAAGUCGAACGGAAAGGCCCUGCUUUUGUGGGGUGCUCGAGUGGCGAACGGGUGAGUAACACGUGAGUAACCUGCCCUUGACUUUGGGAUAACUUCAGGAAACUGGGGCUAAUACCGGAUAGGAGCUCCUGCUGCAUGGUGGGGGUUGGAAAGUUUCGGCGGUCGGGGAUGGACUCGCGGCUUACCAGCUUGUUGGUGGGGUAGUGGCUUACCAAGGCUUUGACGGGUAGCCGGCCUGAGAGGGUGACCGGCCACAUUGGGACUGAGAUACGGCCCAGACUCCUACGGGAGGCAGCAGUGGGGAAUAUUGCACAAUGGGCGGAAGCCUGAUACGGCAACGCCGCGUGCGGGAUGACGGCCUUCGGGUUGUAAACCGCUUUCGCCUGUGACGAAGCGUGAGUGACGGUAAUGGGUAAAGAAGCACCGGCUAACUACGUG